UCUGUCCAUCGCUGUCACAUGUGUGCUCCGUGCCCGCCCGGCCGUGCCACGCGUGUGCUCCUGGUCUGCCCAUCAAUGCCACACAUAUGCUCCCGGUCUGUUUAUUGGAACCACGCAUGUGCUGCUUGUCCAUCAGUGCCAUACGUGUGCUCCUGGUCUGUCCAUCAGUGCCACAUGCAUGUUCCAUGACCUCUCAGCAGUGUCACGUGUGUGCUCUUCUUCUGUCUGUUGGUGUCAUAUGUGUCCCCUGUCCAUCAAUGCCACAUUUGUGCUUCUGGUCUGUCCAUUAGUGCCACGUGCAUGCUCCACACUCACCCAACAGUGCCAUGUUUCUGCUUCUAGUCUGUCUGUCCAUGCCACCACACGUUCCUUGUCUGCCCAUACCUGCCACACAUAUCCCAGACUGUCCCUGAGUGCCACACGUGUGUUUCGUCUGUCCAUCUGUCCCAUACUUGUGCUCCCUGACCAUCAGUGACCUGCAUGCUCCCAGUCUGUCCAUCACUGCCAUAUGUGUGUUUUCUGUCUGUCCUUCACUGCCAUACAUGUGGUCCUAGUCUGCCCAUUGGUGCCAUUUGUGUGUUCCAUGUCCACCUGGCAGUGCCAUUCAUGUGCUCCUGCUCUGUCCACCAGUGCCACAUGUACUUCAUGCCCACCCAGCAGGUGCCACACACUUGCUCCAUCCCCAGUCAGGGCACAGUAGUGGUCCAUCUGAGGGCUGCCUGCUUGGCCGGCAGUAGUACAGCUGGCAUGAGGAUGUAGGAGGAGGAACUGCGGGACUGUUGGAACCUGGAAGAGGAAUUUGAUGUGUCAGGGAGUUCUCUCAGGCCGGUGCUGUAGGUGCUGGGUGUGGCAUCGGAGCAGCCAGGGCACAGCCAGCAGCUGUGCCACGUGCGAAGGCUGGAGUCAGGGGAAGGUGAGGGCACUUGAUGGCUGAAGGGCAAUUUACUUCACUGUCUCUUGCUCUGUGCCAGUCACAUGGUGCCAAUCCAAAAGAUCUUGAGGUGAGAAUGGAAUGCUGCAGGAGCUGAGCCAUGGGUUAGCCAUGCCAGAGGAGGUAUGGUGAAACCAGGGAUUGUCCAGGACACUGGAGCAUUGCCAUUGCUCAUGGCAAUAUGCCACAGUAGAUCAUGUUGACUGUGCCUAUCCCACUGAAUAUCUGGACAACUCUCAAAAAAUUCUCAGUGUCACUAUCCAGGUUGCUCUGGGCCCAACAUGACACCAUUGUAGAGGGACUUGGGCAGCUCAGAGGGUCUUCCCCACUGUGAAUUUUCAUUCCCAGGCACAUUGUGCAGGAUGCCUACAGGAACUCGCUGGUGCGCUGCAGUGUUUCUGAUGACCACUACAAACAGGAUGGACAUCCUCUGAAGCCUCAGCCAGGCAGGGAAGCAUGGCUUUUUCCAGGGAUGGCUGUGAGGAGCCGUGAGUGGAUGGAAAUGGAUGAAAAGGAUGUUCUGGAGAAUUUGUGUUCAGUGGGUGACUUUCUCGCAAUGAAUUUGUGGAUAAAGUCAGGCUCAGCUCUCAGCCUGCUCCAGUCCCUGGGCAUACACUUGUCCCAAACAGAGCAGUGACUGGCUGAGCUGUUGUUCAGAGCUGGCUGGCACAGGGGAGCCUGUGGGGGAUCCUAUGAGAACUUGGUGAAUCAGCAUUGUGAGAGAUGUGGGGACCAUUGGAUAUUCAGGAGAGGCAGGAUAAAUCCCGUUUCUGGAGUCCAGCCACUUUGCAGGAAAUGUUGAGCAAGGAAGGGAGUAAAAGAACAUUUUGCUUCUGCUAAGGAGUUGAUCUACCCAGCAGUGAUGCUGCAUUUUUCACCAUGAUCAGACUUCCUCACUGAGGUCACCACUGAAUUCCCCACCUUGCAGCUGAGCUGCUGAGGAGCUGGUACAGAGGGAACGUCCUCUUGUAGCACCAUAGGCAGGGGCAAAAAUCUUCUCCUACCUCAGCUCAACCAUUGGAAGGUUUGGGAUCCACUUAUAAAGCAAUGCAGAGUGUCCCUCUCUGGUGAGCAUGGACACGAGUUUCCCCAGUUUGUGGAUGCAAGGCCAGUCACACCAAGAGCUGAUGUUCUCUGAGUGAGGAUUUGGGGCAGACCAUUCACACCUGGCUUGAAGCUUCAGAUCAAUGUUUUAGGUCAAGUCCAGCAUGGAUUCAAUGAGGGUUUAACUUGCACUGCAAGAGCAAACUCCUGCCACUCCAGAUUAGAAUGCAUGAUGUUGAGGCACUCUUGUCCUUAAUAGCAGGGGAAAAAGAAAGUGGAAUUGUUUGGUGGCACUGGACCUUCAGCUGUUGGUUCAGCCUGUUGGGUACUGGGUGUAUUCAGCACAAAGUCUCUGCGGAUGGCUUUGUUACAGACAAACAUGUGGUGACUCCAGGUCCAUUGCUAUUUAUACUGUAUUAAAAAAAGGUUGGAUUUGGGUUUUAUCUGAGCAUUCUGCUGCUCUAUUCUCUUUAGGUGCCUUCUAAUUUCUUACAAGUUUUGUUCUUCUGUUUUGUUCUAAAGAAAUCGUUGGUCUUCUGACAAAAAUACUUAGCUGGACCAGGGGCUGGACAUGCACAGGGCAAAGCAGUUGGGACCUACUGAGGUCUGAUACAAGAUGGGAAGAAAUCCUGCCAGAGACAUCCCAUCAAAUACUCUAGAGAUCAUAGAAACAUGGAAUGGUUUGGGUUGGAAAGGGACCUUAAAAACCCUCUAGUUCCAAUCCCUCUGCCGUGGGCAGGGGUACUAGACCAGGUUGCUCCAAGCCCUGUGCAACCUGGCCUUGAACACCUGGACUUGUUGGUCAGCAUCUAGACUCGAGUAGAGGCAAAACUGGAACUAUUUACAGGGUGCCCCUGAGAGUUGCUGUGUGGGAUCAGAGCCAGGCAGAGAAGUGUGCACAACAGCACCCAACACAUCCUUAGACAUCAUUUAGUGCCAAGUCACACAAAGAGAACUCAAGAGUUAAUAACCAUCCCUUCUGCUGGCAUCCAGGAGUGCUUCCUUGGGGAGCGACACUGAAUAUUGAGGUGCUUUUGGGAUCACUACAGAUGAAGUUUGGCUCUUACAGUCACAGCUGGACAGUCAGUGGUACCUGGGUGUCUCUACAGUCAGUGUGAGACAAUGAGCACCCACAGAAACCAUUCAUCCCCAUCCUCUGAACACUCCCCGUGGAGUGAGAUGAAUUUUUCAAUGGAACUGCCUUAUUCUUCCCAUCAAACACGAAGGGAGUGUCUCUGUCUCCAUCUGAGAUGUUCACCCGUCCAAGGUUGGGUGGGAAAACUGUGAUCCAUGGAGAGACCUGUGAUCCACCAAUUGGGUAACUGUGAUCCACCAGAAGGAUGGAAAAAAGGAAUGAUCCCAGUUGUCUUGGGAGAGUCAUUUCAAGGGAGGCACAGAAAAGUAUGAGGGCUCUGGUGACACUUUGGGCUGCCACCUGCUUCUGGUGAGCCCACACGGAGAAUUUAGCCUGAGACUAGGGCAGAGAGGGUUUGCUGGAUUGUUCAGGAGAGUGUCUUACAGAGAUGACUCAGCUCCCUGAUCUCUGAGAAAUGGAUGCUGAGAGAAGACACAUUUGUGGAAAACCUGGGAGGGACAUGGGCUAAACCCUGGCACUACCUUAGGAAGGGAUGAGUAAGAAUGAACAGACCAUGAAUAUCCCUGUGUCUGAAAUGAGGAGAUGCUGACCAAACAUUGGAGCCAUCAGGGUCUACAGGAGUGACCUCAGAGAAGUAUUGGGAAGAGAGCCUGGUGGCUGCAGAAAAGAGCUUGCUCAGGUUCUGGGUGACAUGGCCCAGUGUGGUCUCCUCUCACAGUGGGCACUGGGCACCGGAGUCUCUUCCCCAAAGUGAGAAAUCAGAUUUAAUUCUCCUGUAGCUUUUGCUAACACUGAGCCUAACCAAGAGGUUUUCCCAAGUAGAAUUAUUCUUGACUUUAAUCAAAACCCAAUUUAGAUCCAGGUCAGAUAAUAAGUCAAAGCAGUUCAGGGAAGUCAGCAAGGGGUGUGGAUUCCUUCUGGAGCCUCUUGGAUUGCUGUCCAUAUCACAGCACCAAACAUCAUUUGGUCAGGCUUCUGCUUGGGAGAGGCCUGGGAAUAAGAGAAGCAGAGCAGCCGGAGUCACAAAUUGAGAGGGGAUUUGUGGAAAUAAUAGACAUUUUUCCCACCUUCUUAUUCUGUCUCCAGCGUGUCUUCAGCAGGCUGGGAAUCAAACCACGUGGCCACUGGAUUGAUGUGCUUGGGGGAAGAGCCACAGAAGGAGUGGGGUAGCCUGGCGCCGUGGGGAAGAACCGAAAUACCCAGCAGCUGCCAGAGCUGUGUGGGAGCCCGGGCAGGAACAGCCAGGGAACUGCAGAGCAGGGCUGAGCUCCAUUCCCAGAGCUGCGUGGGGAAGGCUGAUGGCACCUGCCCACAUCCUCUGUGACUGCACAUGAUGCCAUGUCUCCCUCAGUUUCAAGACCAGCAAAUUCACCCUUCCCUGCUUUUUCUCCUCAGGAGGAAGAAGGGGGAAAAAAAGAAACAACCGGGAGACCACAGAUUUUCAGGCUAGGCUGUGCUAAGGCGGCACAAGCUGUCAGCAGGCGCACUGGGAGCAGCCAGGAGAAGCCGGGAGGAGCUGGGGUGCCCUCGGCAAGCUGGAGAUCUCAUUGUCUGCGUGGCAGAGGACAAGAGGGAAGGAAUAUGAACCAAAAAUAGUCUUACAGUUUAAGAAGUAAGACUGUUCCUGUGACCUCUCACAGUUGUGUUGGGUUAACAGUUGGACUCGAUGAGCUUAGAGGUCUUUUCCAUCCUUUGCAGUUCUGUGGUUCCUUGAUUCUCUGAUUCUGUGCCAGGGGGUCUCUCUUUCUCCACCUGUCCAGAGCAGGUCUUCUCCAUUUUUCCAGGUGUGAUCUGUUACUUCAGGCACAUUGCUCAGGCUGUUCUAUUCAGCCCCUUUGCCCUCUGAAAUCCUCACCAUGGGUACACUCCAGCAGCAUCUGCAGCUGCAAACGUCUUGAUGGGACUUUCCAGUGAGCCUGCUCUGAAGUCAGGGCCAUUGCUCUGCUUUCUGAGGAAUCCCUGCUGCUUCUGCAGGGCUCCUGGGCACAGCUGGCACGGGAGGGGAAAGCUGGGGUGGACAACUCUGAUCCUUCCAGAAGCCCCCUCCAUGGGGGUCUAGCCUUUACCUUACAAAAUUUAAAUGCCAGUGCUGGAAGGAAUUCCUGGCAGGUGGAGAAGACAAACACCUUGUGCCUGGGGAGUGCUGCCUGCUCAGCAGGCCCCAGGAAAAGCUGGGUUUACAUUUUUGGUGUGUUGGGGGACACAAAGGCCUCUGUGUUGAUAUUUCUGGGUGAGAUUUAAUGGACUCAGGCUGAAUCCUGGGAACUUAUAAAGCAGCAGGAUAAAGAAAUGCCAGCUAUUCCUCAGUCUGGCUGCGUCCCACCUCCAAAUACUUUAAAGACUUUGAUCCAGUUGUUAACUCAGAAGUGGACACUGGUCCAUGUGGCUCAUCCAUCCCCUCCUGUCUAGCUGGGUGCCCAGCAGGGUCUGUGCUGAGGGCACUGUGUGGCUGCUGAUGGCAGAACUGCUUGUGACUGUCCCUGAGCAAGUUCCUGGUGCCAUCCAUCCCUCUCCAAAGCCUGGUUACCAGCAGAGCUGAAAAGUCUUACCUGCAGCAUCACCCCCAGGACAUGCUGAGCUUCAGCCAGGCUACUUCCAUGUGGAACAGGAGACAGCAGAGCCCUCCCAGUGCCAUACCCCAUCCCAUGGGAGGCUGCUCAUUCUCAUCCAACUUUCUGUGUCACACAGUGGCCAAGGCAGCACUGUGGCAAUUUCUCCUGGAUUAAUCUGGGGACUGUGUGAUUGGGUUUUUGCUUGAUUUCCUCAGGGAUGUCCCACGUGUGGGAUGGUCCCAGGAUAAAGUGGAUUCUGUGCCAUCCUAGGGCUGAACGGGUUAAUUUUUGUGCUUCCCUCCCCAGCUCGCUGCGGACUCUGGCUGGGACAGAACAUCUGUCUGUUGCUAUGGCUGCAGUACACUUGAAGGGGAUGACUGGAUAAUUAUUGCAAACAUCCAUCCUGCCUGGUGUGCUCCCGGACCCUCCCUGCCCCAGCCAGGGCAGCGGCCGGUGCUUGGGCCCAACUUCACUCUCAGGGACCCUGCCGAGGAAUGAUUGCUCUGGGCUGAUCCUGCCGUGCCUCCUCCAGGCACAGGAUCCCACCUGGCUGCUGCUGAGCAGGACCUUGCCAACUCAGCACAAACCAGGCUGUAGACCCCCGUGAUUGUCACACCGUCAGGGACUUUGGAAGCAGCAAGGUCCUGGGUCACAGCAUGGACCCAAGGCUUUCCCUGGUUCUCCCUAGAAGCACAAGUGGAGCUGGGACCAGGAUGAGGGCAGACCUCCACAGCCACUGGUGAGCAAACAGCACCACAGCUGGGACCCUCUGCCAUGUUCGCUUUCACUCUGCAGGGAUCCAGGUAGGCUGUGCAGGACAAGACUGCCUCUUUUUCUCAUUACCUAUAACAUCAUCAAUAAAUAAUACUAUUUUCACACAGUGCUUUGGAUCUGCAGAGCAGUUGUCUAGCACUCAUUGGUGUGGAGCAUUCC